AGGGAUAUAGCUCAGUGGCACUGUAUCUGCCUGUCAAGCACAAGGUCCUGAGUUCAAUCCUAAGUAUCCCCC
rnacentral:tRNA from 1 species